rnacentral:rRNA from 1 species
AGAGUUUGAUCCUGGCUCAGAUUGAACGCUGGCGGCAGGCCUAACACAUGCAAGUCGAGCGGAAACGAGUUAUCUGAACCUUCGGGGGACGAUAACGGCGUCGAGCGGCGGACGGGUGAGUAAUGCCUAGGAAAUUGCCCUGAUGUGGGGGAUAACCAUUGGAAACGAUGGCUAAUACCGCAUGAUGCCUACGGGCCAAAGAGGGGGACCUUCGGGCCUCUCGCGUCAGGAUAUGCCUAGGUGGGAUUAGCUAGUUGGUGAGGUAAGGGCUCACCAAGGCAACGAUCCCUAGCUGGUCUGAGAGGAUGAUCAGCCACACUGGAACUGAGACACGGUCCAGACUCCUACGGGAGGCAGCAGUGGGGAAUAUUGCACAAUGGGCGCAAGCCUGAUGCAGCCAUGCCGCGUGUGUGAAGAAGGCCUUCGGGUUGUAAAGCACUUUCAGUCGUGAGGAAGGUAGUGUAGUUAAUAGCUGCAUUAUUUGACGUUAGCGACAGAAGAAGCACCGGCUAACUCCGUGCCAGCAGCCGCGGUAAUACGGAGGGUGCGAGCGUUAAUCGGAAUUACUGGGCGUAAAGCGCAUGCAGGUGGUUUGUUAAGUCAGAUGUGAAAGCCCGGGGCUCAACCUCGGAAUAGCAUUUGAAACUGGCAGACUAGAGUACUGUAGAGGGGGGUAGAAUUUCAGGUGUAGCGGUGAAAUGCGUAGAGAUCUGAAGGAAUACCGGUGGCGAAGGCGGCCCCCUGGACAGAUACUGACACUCAGAUGCGAAAGCGUGGGGAGCAAACAGGAUUAGAUACCCUGGUAGUCCACGCCGUAAACGAUGUCUACUUGGAGGUUGUGGCCUUGAGCCGUGGCUUUCGGAGCUAACGCGUUAAGUAGACCGCCUGGGGAGUACGGUCGCAAGAUUAAAACUCAAAUGAAUUGACGGGGGCCCGCACAAGCGGUGGAGCAUGUGGUUUAAUUCGAUGCAACGCGAAGAACCUUACCUACUCUUGACAUCCAGAGAACUUUCCAGAGAUGGAUUGGUGCCUUCGGGAACUCUGAGACAGGUGCUGCAUGGCUGUCGUCAGCUCGUGUUGUGAAAUGUUGGGUUAAGUCCCGCAACGAGCGCAACCCUUAUCCUUGUUUGCCAGCGAGUAAUGUCGGGAACUCCAGGGAGACUGCCGGUGAUAAACCGGAGGAAGGUGGGGACGACGUCAAGUCAUCAUGGCCCUUACGAGUAGGGCUACACACGUGCUACAAUGGCGCAUACAGAGGGCGGCCAACUUGCGAAAGUGAGCGAAUCCCAAAAAGUGCGUCGUAGUCCGGAUUGGAGUCUGCAACUCGACUCCAUGAAGUCGGAAUCGCUAGUAAUCGUGGAUCAGAAUGCCACGGUGAAUACGUUCCCGGGCCUUGUACACACCGCCCGUCACACCAUGGGAGUGGGCUGCAAAAGAAGUAGGUAGUUUAACCUUCGGGGGGACGCUUACCACUUUGUGGUUCAUGACUGGGGUGAAGUCGUAACAAGGUAACCUA